GAUAAAGAAAAGAAAAAUAGACUUGAGGGCAUAGUACAGGAGGCGGAAUUGGUGUUAAAGCAAGAUUAUCUAUAUUAAUCAGGAAUAAGAUAUAGUGAAGUUUUUGAUUGAUAUGAGUCAUAGGAACUCCACAUGUUAUAAGGGUCGGCGGCUGACGCAUUUUGGCAACUUCUCUUCCACAUCAUUUUUGCAUAUAAAUAAAUGUGUAGUAUACUGAGUGGUGAGAGGGUCCCUCUACGGUUUUAGAAUGUUUUGAAAUAUGUACUUGAUAAAUGUUGGUUUUUGAAAUGAUAUAACAUGUGCGUUUUAUGUACUUGAA